GGAACUUCUCAUUAUAAACUGAGCUUGUUGCCAGGUGAUUUGUACAGGAACUUCUCAUUAUAAACUGAGCUUGUUGCCAGGUGAUUUGUACAGGAACUUCUCAUUAUAAACUGAGCUUGUUGCCAGGUGAUUUGUACAGGAACUUCUCAUUAUAAACUGAGCUUGUUGCCAGGUGAUCUGUACAGGAACUUCUCAUUAUAAACUGAGCUUGUUGCCAGGUGAUCUGUACAGGAACUUCUCAUUAUAAACUGAGCUUGUUGCCAGGUGAUUUGUACAGGAACUUCUCAUUAUAAACUGAGCUUGUUGCCAGGUGAUUUGUACAGGAACUUCUCAUUAUAAACUGAGCUUGUUGCCAGGUGAUUUGUACAGGAACUUCUCAUUAUAAACUGAGCUUGUUGCCAGGUGAUUUGUACAGGAACUUCUCAUUAUAAACUGAGCUUGUUGCCAGGUGAUUUGUACAGGAACUUCUCAUUAUAAACUGAGCUUGUUGCCAGGUGAUUUGUACAGGAACUUCUCAUUAUAAACUGAGCUUGUUGCCAGGUGAUUUGUACAGGAACUUCUCAUUAUCACAAAAGCUGAUGUUUUCUAAUCUCUGGUAUGCAAGAUGUUGUGCCGCUAACUUUAACACGAGAAGAUAAAUCAGUGAACAUCCCCUCUACCUGAACAUGGAAUAAUCAUAAUUAAUCAUACCCACUGCACACACAUUUUAAUAUGAACCCUCCAGUAUCUGGGGUGGCAGGAAGCCUAGUGGUUAGAGAGUUGGGCCAGUAACCGAAUCACUGAGCCAACAAGGUCCAAAUCUGUCGUUCUGGCCCUGAACAAGGCAAUUAAACCACUGUUCCCUGGUAGGCCGUCCCCUGAUAGGCCGUCCCCUGAUAGGCCGUCCCCUGAUAGGCCGUCCCCUGAUAGGCCGUCCCCUGAUAGGCCGUCCCCUGAUAGGCCGUCCCCUGAUAGGCCGUCCCCUGAUAGGCCUAAUCUGAAUAGAGCGGCACAUAUUUUGAUUAAAAAAACAGGAUCAAGCCAUUGGUUGGGCAGUUGUAACCCUUGAUAAUGUAUUGUCCCCCCCAGGCCUUUGGUUAACACCGAUGAUAUUUGAAACACACCAAGACAGACAGAGUAAUAUAGAGAGGGCUCGUGCUGAGGGAGAGGCACCGCAGCCUAAUUUUCAGAGCUCACUCACUGAAACGCCUCUCGCACACACUGAAACGCCUCACACACACACACACACACACUGAAACGCCUCAC